AACGAACGCUGGCGGCAGGCCUAACACAUGCAAGUCGAACGCCCUAGCAAUAGGGAGUGGCAGACGGGUGAGUAACACGUGGGAACGUGCCUUUCGGUUCGGAAUAACCCAGGGAAACUUGGACUAAUACCGGAUACGUGCGAGAGCAGAAAGAUUUAUCGCCGAAAGAUCGGCCCGCGUCCGAUUAGCUAGUUGGUGAGGUAACGGCUCACCAAGGCGACGAUCGGUAGCUGGUCNGAGAGGAUGAUCAGCCACACUGGGACUAAGACACGGCCCGGACUCCUACGGGAGGCAGCAGUGGGGAAUAUUGGACAAUGGGCGCAAGCCUGAUCCAGCCAUGCCGCGUGAGUGAUGAAGGCCCUAGGGUUGUAAAGCUCUUUCGCCAGGGACGAUAAUGACGGUACCUGGAUAAGAAGCCCCGGCUAACUUCGUGCCAGCAGCCG
rnacentral:rRNA from 1 species